rfam:Ophiophagus hannah scaffold2002.1, whole genome shotgun sequence.
CAAAAGGCCCUUUUAAGGGCCACCCACUGCCUCAGUAGAGAGCUG